rnacentral:rRNA from 1 species
CGCGGCCUAUCAGCUUGUUGGCGAGGUAACGGCUCACCAAGGCGACGACGGGUAGCUGGUCUGAGAGGAUGGCCAGCCACAUUGGGACUGAGAUACGGCCCAGACUCCUACGGGAGGCAGCAGUGGGGAAUAUUGCGCAAUGGCCUAACGGCUGACGCAGCGACGCCGCGUGUGGGAUGAAGCCUUUCGGGGUGUAAACCACUGUUGCCCGGGACGAACCUCUGGCUUUGGCCAGACUGACGGUACCGGGUGAGGAAGCACCGGCUAACUCCGUGCCAGCAGCCGCGGUAAUACGGAGGGUGCGAGCGUUGUCCGGAAUCACUGGGCGUAAAGGGCGCGUAGGCGGUUCGAUAAGUGUGUGGUGAAAGCCCGGGGCUUAACCCCGGGUCUGCCGUGCAAACUGUCGGACUCGAGGACUGCAGAGGCAGGUGGAAUUCCGGGUGUAGCGGUGGAAUGCGUAGAGAUCCGGAAGAAGACCGGUGGCGAAGGCGACCUGCUGGGCAGUUACUGACGCUGAGGCGCGACAGCGUGGGGAGCAAACAGGAUUAGAUACCCUGGUAGUCCACACCGUAAACGAUGGGCACUAGGUCUCUGGGGGAGCGACCCCCUGGGGGCCGGCGCAAACGCAUGAAGUGCCCCGCCUGGGGAGUACGG